UACGAAGGGGGCUAGCGUUGCUCGGAAUCACUGGGCGUAAAGCGCACGUAGGCGGCUUACUAAGUCAGGGGUGAAAUCCUGGAGCUCAACUCCAGAACUGCCUUUGAUACUGGUGAGCUUGAGUCCGGAAGAGGUGAGUGGAACUGCGAGUGUAGAGGUGAAAUUCGUAGAUAUUAGGAAGAACACCGGUGGCGAAGGCGGCCCACUGGUCCGGUACUGACGCUGAGGUGCGAAAGCGUGGGGAGCAAA
rnacentral:rRNA from 1 species